UCUCCCCAGACGACCUCGUCGCCAUUCCCCUCCCUCCCGAGAGAAAUCUCCUUGCUCUGCCCCUGCACUCUUCCCGUCGCCUCCGCGUGCCAUGGACGACACAUCGUCUCGCCGGCCGCCGUCACCUGAACCCAACCAGCCCUCCGCUCCCGCCCAGAUUCGAACCCCAAUCACCUGACCACUAUUCUCAAUUCGCCGCGGCAUGCCUCGCGUGGCCAAUCCAUGUCUCCCACCGGCGAUCAGUAGGUGUGCGGCCCCGCCGCCGCUGGCUCUCGUGGUUGCGACGUAUCCUCCCCGGCUCCCUCCUCCUCCUCCUCACCCAGGCCGCACCUCCGUCCACGCGAUGCCGGCCCACGGCUCCCGCCUCGACCCCUGAUUAUAGUUGCUGCCUUUUGUAAUGUAUGUGCAAUUCUGAUUGUUUAGUGUGUGCUCUCAGUUCAUCGUCCGCCUCAGCAAUGAGGAUACCUUCGUUCAGCUUAUCGAGGAAGGAUGUUCCGUUCUUGAGUCUAAUUUUUCCUUCCUAUGGGCCAUUUCUUCAAUCGGAUUUUUGCAAGCGAAUUGAUGAAGCCAGAGUGGUGGCAGUUAGAGACCAACGUUACGUGUGCUCUGCAGUUUAAAUGAUUUCAGGAAGACUUCAUUUGAUGCCUCGAACUGAAUAUAUUUUUAAUUGGAUGGAUGGAUAUUGAAUAAUUGCAUCAUGUUUGGAGGUAGCGAUGACGUGUCGUAUGUUUUGGGGUCCAGGUAAUAAUUUAGCUUACUUACCAGAUUACAUUAAUUACUUUCAAAAGAUAGCCAUCACGAUAGGAAAUCCCAUCUGUAUUUAUGGAGCUAGCAGAACAUAGUACAUCCAACAUGUCUAGCUCUCAGUCCUUGUCCUCUCAUACAUGUGAUGUAUGCUUUUAUCCUAAAGUUUCCAUCAACUUUGUUUGUUUAUUCAGAUCAAGUUAGGGUUGUAUAUACAUCUAGAUUUAUAUCACAACAAUGCCCUAUAGGGAGGGAAUUAGCUGCACAAGGGAAGAAACCUCAAAGGUAAUCUUAAUUCUGGAAUAUUAGGACCAUGAUGGCUGCAGGCGAGCUGUGUCUUGAUGAGUAUGAUUUUUCAUUUUUCAUGGUGUUUGCAGAUUUUACUGAAUGUCAUGCAGAUUGGUUUGGUACAUGAAAACCUUAAUCACACUCCUUUUAGGACAAAAGUAUAUACAUACUACAUGGUUUUGAUAAAGUAUAUGCCUCUUCCUCUGUGUAGUAUGCCCCAAAUUUCCAUUCUUCAUGUAUAUUGCAGCUUAAAUAAUAUUUAAGUUCUCUCAAAAGUUAUGUACUCCACAUACUUCUCUCUACGAGGUUGGAAAUCUGUUGUGCAUAGCAGGAGAACGAAAUGUCUUUUUAAUUAAUUUUCCCUUCAAAAACAUAUCAUAUAGUUAGGAAUAUAUUAGAAUAUUCUAAUAACAUAGAAGAUGUGUACCCCUGCCUUUUCCCUAAACAAAUCGCAUGCUCUAUUUGAGUUGGAAACAUCUGUAUAUUCUUUUCUUCAAGUAGAGCCAGGAAUACAUUUUUUAUCAAUAUAUUUUUUAUUAGUACUAAAACUGAGUUUUGAAGAAGAAGAUGGGGAGCUAUCAGCUUAUAUCUGAUGAUGCAAAGUCCAAUUGGUGGCUGGCCCUUCUAUGUCUUAUUAGUCGUUGGAUGUUAGUUCUUAAUUUUUCCCCUUGAACUAAUGAUUCAUGAAAUGGACGAUGUAGACAAUAUCAUGACUGGUUGGGCGAUGACGCAGCCUAGCAACACUAAGGAGAGACUGCCUGCUUCUGCGCUAAGUCGCUGCUGGUCAAGACCUCCAGGUAUGGAUCAAGCAUAAUUCAUGGUUGAUUCUGGUGGUAAAGUUGUGGUCUUCACAUCGUUGUUUAUCAAGUUGGUGCUUGUUUAUGGCAACUAUUCCAUGUUUAUUUCUAUGAUUUGGUCGGUUUAUGGUAAGGAAGUGAUGGUUUAUUAGAUACAUUCUCAGUGAAGUUACAUUCAAAAUAUUAAUAUGCACAAAGGAUACAUUCUCAGUGAAGUUACAUCCAAUGAUGUUUAAUUGAUGGAUUCUCUAGGAAGUUACCUUCUUUGCCCUUUAAUUCAGUUGUAUUAACAUGUGCAAAGGAAAUUCAAAUUAUUUUUUAUCAGGCAAAGCUUCUACAGAUACUACAGAACGGGUUAAAAUCACUGAAUGAAGCAUGACAACCGUGAACCAAGCAUUUGAGUAGAAAGAGAGCGAUGGUAUAUGGGAAAAAAAAUGUUUGACACUUUGACAUUCACGGCUUUGCUUCCCGUGGCAACGCACGGGCAUUAAACUAGUAUGGACUAAAAUGGAAAUCUGUGGUACUCACCUUCAAGAAACAGGGAGGAGACUAGGUUUGGACUUUACUAACAUCGAUCUAUACCAGCCAUUGGCAUUGAUUUCAACGACCAUUUUGAGCGCUGGUCAUUCCGAAAGCAACCCUGACACUACCAAGUUUAGAGAUGACAUUUUGCUCUUUAUGUACCUAUAUAGAUGGAAAGGAAGGCUGAACAUUACUCUGUUUA